GCUUAAUCCAUUCCUGGGAUAGCUCAACUGGUAGAGCAUGAGCCUCUUAAUCCCAGGGUUGUGGGUUCACGUCCCACAUUGGGCA